GACGUCGAAGGAUCGACGCAGGCCGACCAUGGAUGGCGGCCAGAGGGACAGUCGCAGGAUGCGGCUACUUCGUCAGGACGACGAGCACACGGACGUAAGGAAACAAAAACGGCGAGGCCAACCCCCUCGCCGUUUUUGC
rfam:Pseudomonadales bacterium GWC1_66_9 gwc1_scaffold_6154, whole genome shotgun sequence.